GGGGAAUUUUGGACAAUGGGCGCAAGCCUGAUCCAGCAAUGCCGCGUGAGUGAAGAAGGCCUUCGGGUUGUAAAGCUCUUUUGUCAGGGAAGAAACGGUGUUUUCUAAUACAGAACGCUAAUGACGGUACCUGAAGAAUAAGCACCGGCUAACUACGUGCCAGCAGCCGCGGUAAUACGUAGGGUGCAAGCGUUAAUCGGAAUUACUGGGCGUAAAGCGUGCGCAGGCGGUUUUGUAAGACUGUCGUGAAAUCCCCGGGCUCAACCUGGGAAUGGCGAUGGUGACUGCAAGGCUAGAGUUUGGCAGAGGGGGGUAGAAUUCCACGUGUAGCAGUGAAAUGCGUAGAUAUGUGGAGGAACACCGAUGGCGAAGGCAGCCCCCUGGGUCAAAACUGACGCUCAUGCACGAAAGCGUGGGGAGCAAAC
rnacentral:rRNA from 1 species